AUCUGUGAACCUCGAGAUAAUUUAAUGUACGAGUUUUGCACAUAUUGUAAUGUUAAUUCUCAUUUUAUAUUAGUAAUAAUAUAAAUAAAAUAAUAAUAUUAUAGUUGUUUUAUUUGAUUUAUUUAACAUUUUACAAUCGUAUAAGCUUUUAUAAAACUUCUACUAUGUAAGUUUGUUGACAUAACAUAGCUUUAAUCAUCUUCCGUUUUUCUUAAUUAUCUUUAUCAUUAGAAUUACGAUUUAAUUAUUCAUUCGUUUAUCCCAAUUGUGAAACGUAAAUAAAAUACAUUCAAUUUUCUUGCGCGAAGUAGAAAAUUGUGUUUGAAGGAAUCAAACUCAGCAGUUUUUACAAAUCAAAAGAUACACUCAGGUCAUUGAACUGUUGUACUUAAUAUGCAAUAAUGUUUAUGAUUUGGGGUAAGUAUUGCUAACACACAUUAACAUUUUAUUGUAUGUACUCAUUUAUAAGCUAAUAAAUUUAGUUUUUAAAAACUUAAACACGGCAUGUUUUACAUAAAACAUCAAUAAAAUAAUAGUACUUAAAAUCUAACUUAUACGCGAAUACAUACACUGUUAACACAUAUGAAAGUAGAUGUACCUAUCUAUAAACUAGUGUUUUUUUCGUGUUUAGUAACAAAGUUUAACGAAAAAUUUAAUGUAAAAAAUAUUCUACAUAAAAACACCAGUUUAUACAAAUGUAGUUAUACUAUUUCCAACAUGUUGAAUACAUUUUUAUUAUAAAUUAUAUAAAAGUAUUUUAUUUUAUGGUGAACAGCUACUAUAAAUUUGUAUUUACCUCUUAGUAGCUUAGUAAGACCACAGACUAUUACAACAAAUUAAAUAAAAAUAUCAGUGUAAUAGGCAUUGUUGGAAUAAUAAACGAGGAGACUGGUUCGCAAGUGGAGCACGAUCUGUAGAUACGCAAAAUCUCCGUGAUUCUGUAAUUAUAGCAAAUAAGAGUAUCAUAAGGAGAAUUCGCAUACCUCCUUACGAAGUAUAUAAAACUCAUUGGCGCAA